rnacentral:rRNA from 1 species
GACGAACGCUGGCGGCGUGCUUAACACAUGCAAGUCGAACGGGCCUGUCUUCUUUUUUGGGGGUGGGUUGAGUGGCGAACGGGUGAGUAUCACGUGAGUAACCUGCCCUUCGGUCCUGGAUAACCGCUUGAAAGGGCGGCUAAUACGGGGUGGUCCGGUUGGUCCGCAUGGGCUGGUCGGGAUAGAUUCACUGUUUUUGGUGUUUCGGCGGGGGAUGGGCUCGCGGCCUAUCAGCUUGUUGGUGGGGUGAUGGCCUACCAAGGCGGUGACGGGUAGCCGGCCUGAGGGGGUGGGCGGCCACACUGGGACUGAGAUACGGCCCAGACUCCUGCGGGAGGCAGCGGUGGGGGGUAUUGCACAAUGGGCGGAAGCCUGAUGCCGCGACGUCGCGUGAGGGAUGGAGGCCUUCGGGCUGUGAACCUCUGUUUCCGGUGGUGAAGGCCCUGUCCGUGUGGUGGGGUUGACGGUAGCCGGGGAUGAAGCGCCGGCUAACUACGUG